AGGGUUCGAUCCUGGCUCAGGACGAACGCUGGCGGCGUGCCUAACACAUGCAAGUCGAACGGAGAAUUUUAUUUCGGUAGAAUUCUUAGUGGCGAACGGGUGAGUAACGCGUAGGCAACCUGCCCUUUAGACGGGGACAACAUUCCGAAAGGAGUGCUAAUACCGGAUGUGAUCAUCGUGCCGCAUGGCAGGAUGAAGAAAGAUGGCCUCUACAAGUAAGCUAUCGCUAAAGGAUGGGCCUGCGUCUGAUUAGCUAGUUGGUAGUGUAACGGACUACCAAGGCAAUGAUCAGUAGCCGGUCUGAGAGGAUGAACGGCCACAUUGGGACUGAGACACGGCCCAA
rnacentral:rRNA from 1 species